UACGUAGGUCCCGAGCGUUGUCCGGAUUUAUUGGGCGUAAAGCGAGCGCAGGUGGUUUAUUAAGUCUGGUGUAAAAGGCAGUGGCUCAACCAUUGUAUGCAUUGGAAACUGGUAGACUUGAGUGUAGGAGAGGAGAGUGGAAUUUCAUGUGUAGCGGUGAAAUGCGUAGAUAUAUGGAGGAACACCGGUGGCGAAAGCGGCUCUCCGGCCUGUAACUGACACUGAGGCUCGAAAGCGUGGGGAGCAAACAGG
rnacentral:rRNA from 1 species